rnacentral:tRNA from 1 species
UCCUUGGCAGUCCCCUGGUUAGGACUCUGCACUCUCAUUGCCAAGGGCCUAGGUUCAAUUCCUGGCUGGGGAA